GGCGGAUUAGUGGCGAACGGGUGAGUAAUACGUGAGUAACCUGCCCUUGACUCUGGGAUAAGCCUGGGAAACUGGGUCUAAUACUGGAUACUACUUCUUGCCGCAUGGUGGGUGGUGGAAAGGGUUUUACUGGUUUUGGAUGGGCUCACGGCCUAUCAGCUUGUUGGUGGGGUAAUGGCUCACCAAGGCGACGACGGGUAGCCGGCCUGAGAGGGUGACCGGCCACACUGGGACUGAGACACGGCCCAGACUCCUACGGGAGGCAGCAGUGGGGAAUAUUGCACAAUGGGCGGAAGCCUGAUGCAGCGACGCCGCGUGAAGGAUGACGGCCUUCGGGUUGUAAACCUCUUUCAGUAGGGAAGAAGCGAGAGUGACGGUACCUGCAGAAGAAGCGCCGGCUAACUACGUGCCAGCAGCCGCGGUAAUACGUAGGGCGCAAGCGUUGUCCGGAAUUAUUGGGCGUAAAGAGCUCGUAGGCGGUUUGUCGCGUCUGCUGUGAAAGCCCGGGGCUCAACCCCGGGUCUGCAGUGGGUACGGGCAGACUAGAGUGCAGUAGGGGAGACUGGAAUUCCUGGUGUAG
rnacentral:rRNA from 1 species